AUGUUCCCUCGUGAUCUGAAAGGAUUCAAAUUUUUGAAAACAGAAGAUAUUUCACAGAAAGUGUUUGCAAACAAGAUGUUUAAUGAUCAGCUGAAUUUACCCUCAGGUCACACACAUGUGACUAGGCUAAAAUCCUAUCACAGCAGGGAGGUGGUUGUGAGCUUCAGAUGCAGCAGGGAGAAGAGAAUUCAAAGUGAGCACAAGAUAAAAGGCAGAAAUUUCCACAGAGGAUCAGAGUGA
rnacentral:lncRNA from 1 species